AGACGCUAAACACCAAACGUCAAUAGCUGACCAAGACAUCCAUCACACAUACUCUGACAUCGGUGACAGCAGAAGGAGCGAGUAUGAAGACCUUCAGGCCAGCACCAGGUUCAGAGAUGAACCAAAGGAAUAUGAGCAUCUGAGGACAACAGAUCCAGUCCGAAGUGAUGCUUACCAAAACAUCCCAACACCACAUGGCUCAGUUGACGGACCCUCGCCAUUGUAUGAAAACCAAGCUGACAUAUCCAGCACAUCCUUCUGAUGCGUCAGGAAGAGCCUGGUAAUCUCAGCUCUCAACUCAGAGGAAUUUGCGAUCACAUAUAUAUAUAUAUUAUCACUUAUUGGCGAAAACUGAAAAUGACCGAGAUGUUACAUUAAUAAAGGCUAUACAAAGUACAGUGAAUAAAUCG